rnacentral:lncRNA from 1 species
CAUUUUUCUUCCUGAUAACCUUUUACUAAUGAAGCGCCAGGGCUGAGAAGAGACCAUUUACAAAUGGUGAAUCAUUAGAAACAGAUUUGUGGGCGGGAUGGAUUUUCCAGCAGAGCAUCACUUCUGAGAACACUCUCCUCUGCUAAAAGGAGGAGAAAGGGAACGAGAGCCUCCACGUGGGGAAAAAAGUAGGAGAAAGCCAUGUUAUGAUAUUGAUGUUUUGGGGGAAGGGAAGGGAGAGAGAAGACUAAUAACCCCAUUGAAGACUUUCCUCCAUCUAAUGAGAGUUACUUUAUACAUCAUCAGGACAUACUGCAAUCCUGGCAGGCAGGCAGAACAAGGAAGUGCUGCUGAGGAAAAACCAGAGGUCUUCCAUGACAAUCAAUCCGUUGGAAAGUACUUGGCAAACAGAAGCAGUGGCAGCCUCAGCCUCGGAGGCAUCCCGUACGUCCUGGCCAGCCCAGUUUACGCCAUGGAACAGAGGGAAAAUCCACCGAGGUUGCGAUCCAAAAGGUUGCUUUCUAGAAGGCAUCAAAAGACCAGCAAGGGUACAAAAAUCAGCGCAGAAGGGAAAUGCUCAGAUUAUGGUUUGGAAUACCUGAUAGUUUCACAUGCGAACAAGAGGAUCUCCAGCUAACCGGAAAAUAGUAGAAAGCAGCUUUGGGG